AACUGUUUGGGUGGGUGGAUGAUGUUCAGUACCAAGGACAGGUAUGUUUAUGUGUGUGUGGAUGGUGUUCAGUACCAAGGACAGGUAUGUUUAUGU
rfam:Branchiostoma floridae genomic scaffold BRAFLscaffold_153, whole genome shotgun sequence.